rnacentral:misc_RNA from 1 species
AUGAUUGUGAAUCGUCGCCUUCAGUGCUGGCCGGCUUCGGCAAGUGCACGUCGGGGACUUUCAUCCAAUACCCUGUGCACCUUUGGCCUCUUGCUAGCUUCGGCAGGCAGAGGAUUUUUACACACACUCGAAUGUAAUGAAAUUUAUUGUCGUGCGCAAGCACUAAUGUA